AAUAUUGCACAAUGGGGGAAACCCUGAUGCAGCGACGCCGCGUGAGUGAAGAAGUAUUUCGGGAUGUAAAGCUCUAUCAGCAGGGAAGAAAAUGACGGUACCUGACUAAGAAGCCCCGGAUAAUUACGUGCCAGCAGCCGCGGUAAUACGUAGGGGGCAAGCGUUAACCGGAUUUAAUGGGUGGAAAGGGAGAGUGGGUGGGGCGGCAAGUUAGAAGUGGAAGCCCGGGGCUCAACCCCGGGACUGCAUUUGAAACUGUCGAACUAGAGUGCAGGAGAGGUAAGUGGAAUUCCUAGUGUAGCGGUGAAAUGCGUAGAUAUUAGGAGGAACACCAGUGGCGAAGGCGGCUUACUGGACUGUAACUGACACUGAGGCUCGAAAGCGUGGGGAGCAAACAGG
rnacentral:rRNA from 1 species